rnacentral:ncRNA from 2 species
GAGGAACCCGGUGUGAGCCCGGGACGGUCCCGCCACUGUGACCUGGCCGCAGUUCAUCGACUGCGGCCCGGGAGUCAGGAACUC